rnacentral:rRNA from 1 species
AACGAACGCUGGCGGCAUGCCUAACACAUGCAAGUCGAACGAGACCUUCGGGUCUAGUGGCGCACGGGUUCGUAACGCGUGGGAACCUGCCCUUAGGUUCGGAAUAACUCCCCGAAAGGGGUGCUAAUACCGGAUAAUGUCUUCGGACCAAAGAUUUAUCGCCUUUGGAUGGGCCCGCGUUGUAUUAGCUAGUUGGUAGGGUAAAAGCCUACCAAGGCGAGGAUCCAUAGCUGGUUUGAGAGGAUGAUCAGCCACACUGGGACUGAGACACGGCCCAGACUACUACGGGAGGCAGCAGUGGGGAAUAUUGGACAAUGGGCGAAAGCAUGAUGCAGCAAUGACGGGUGAGUGAUGAAGGUCGUAGGGUUGUAAAGCUAUUUUACCCGGGAUGAUAAUGACAGUACCGGGAGAAUAAGCUCCGGCUAACUCCGUG